rnacentral:ribozyme from 1 species
UGUAAAAAAAAAAAAAAAAAAAAAAAAAAAAAAAAAAAAA